rnacentral:rRNA from 1 species
AUUGAACGCUGGCGGCGGGCCUAACACAUGCAAGUCGGACGGUAGCACAGAGGAGCUUGCUCCUCGGGUGACGAGUGGCGGACGGGUGAGUAAUGUCUGGGGAUCUGCCCGAUAGAGGGUGAUAACCACUGGAAACGGUGGCUAAUACCGCAUAACGUCGCAAGACCAAAGAGGGGGACCUUCGGGCCUCUCACUAUCGGAUGAACCCAGAUGGGAUUAGCUAGUAGGCGGGGUAACGGCCCACCUAGGCGACGAUCCCUAGCUGGUCUGAGAGGAUGACCAGCCACACUGGAACUGAGACACGGUCCAGACUCCUACGGGAGGCAGCAGUGGGGAAUAUUGCACAAUGGGCGCAAGCCUGAUGCAGCCAUGCCGCGUGUAUGAAGAAGGCCUUCGGGUUGUAAAGUACUUUCAGCGGGGAGGAAGGCGAUGUGGUUAAUAACCGCGUCGAUUGACGUUACCCGCAGAAGAAGCACCGGCUAACUCCGUGCCAGCCGCCGCUGUAA